GACGAACGCUGGCGGCGUGCUUAACACAUGCAAGUCGAACGGUAAGGCCCUUCGGGGUACACGAGUGGCGAACGGGUGAGUAACACGUGGGUGAUCUGCCCUGCACUUCGGGAUAAGCCUGGGAAACUGGGUCUAAUACCGGAUAGGACUCCUGGCUUCAUGGUUGGGGGUGGAAAGCUUUUGCGGUGUGGGAUGGGCCCGCGGCCUAUCAGCUUGUUGGGGGGGUAAUGGCCUAACAAGGCCACGUCGGGUAGCCGGCCUGGGAGGGUGACCGGUCACACGGGGACUGAGAUACGGCCGAGACUCCUACGGGAGGCAGCAGUGGGGGAUAUUGAACAAUGGGCGCAAGCCUGAGGCAGCGACGCCGCGUGAGGGAUGACGGCCUUCGGGUUGUAAACCUCUUUCAGCUAUGACGAAGCGCAAGUGACGGUAGUAGCAGAAGAAGGACCGGCCAACUACGUGCCAGCAGCCGCGGUAA
rnacentral:rRNA from 1 species